rnacentral:rRNA from 1 species
UACGAAGGUUGCUAGCGUUGUUCGGAAUCACUGGGCUUAAAGAGCACGUAGGCGGCUCAUCAAGUGCCUUGUGAAAUCCCCGGGCUCAACCCGGGAAUUGCUUGGCAUACUGUAGAGCUUGAGGCAAGUAGAGGCGCGCGGAACUCUUGGUGGAGCGGUGGAAUGCGUAGAUAUCAAGAGGAACGCCGGUGGCGAAAGCGGCGCGCUGGGCUUGUCCUGACGCUGAGGUGCGAAAGCCAGGGGAGCAAACGGG